rnacentral:lncRNA from 1 species
UUUCAGGAGAUCUGACUUAAGAGCCCAUCAUCAAUCCUUUCCAAGUCCUCCAUCAACCAGCUAACCUCUUUAGUGGGCCCACCUUUUAGUGGCCCAUUGUCUAAAUGAUUGGCUUGUCAUAAUACUGACACCUCUUUAGACCACGCCUCUAGUACCUGAAUACUUAGGAACAAAACAUGCCCAAACAUUAGCACUGUGUGAUAUUGCUUAAGAAUUACUUUUGAUUCAUGCAAGUCUAAAAAAUGUAGCUGUGGCCUAGAUACAGCAAAUUGUUUUGAAUCCAAAUAAUAUUUUUUUCUUAUUUUUUUAUUAUUUAAAUGUAUUUUCCACAGCAAACAUAUAAUAUUGAAUAUUUUGAGAAUCAAAUACUACAUAAAAUUUCUGUUCAACUUUUAUAUUCAUAUCCUUUCAUACCUUAAAAAUGUUAUUAAUGAAUAUUUAAUACUAUCCAUAACUGAGGAUCCUAUAUCUAAUGUUGAAUACUAAAUUGUUUCAAAACAUACAAAAUAUUCAUUUGUAGUUAAGCAUAGUAAAAGAGCAUAAAAUAUUAAAAAUGAGUCCUUAAGAAAUACAUUCAAAAGCUAUUAUAUGAUAUGAUAGAGAGUAUUUCAAACACAUUAUAUAUCUCUGUACAUUGUCUAACAGUUUUCUUACAAAAGAUUAUCAGUGUUUCUAGGAGAGAAAUUAUUUUAUCAGUAAGUAUAUUUUAAAAACUUCAAAAUAGCAAACACUCUUUGAGGUUAAACAUUUAGAAAAUGAAAAUGCUAAUUUCAAGCACAGUGAGGAAAAUUAUCAGUAUUUCCAUGAUGUUUGUAGAACAUGAUUUUAAUAUUUUCAACUGUUAAUAUUCAACAAACAGAAUAAUUAUUUUAAAAUACAUUUCAUUGUUAUGUCUCCCUUUUCAUUUCUGACUUUAUUAAUUUGGAUACUGUCUCUGUGUCCUCUGGUUAGUCUGGCUAAGGCUUUAUCUAUCUUAUUGAUUUUUUUCAAAGAACCAGCUCCUGGGUUUGUUGAUUCUUUAUAUAGUUGUUAUUUUUGUUGUUAGAGGUGGAAUUAUGUUUGUGUGGCUAUCUUCUUUUGGGUUUGUUGAAAGAUUACUUUCUUGGUUUUUCUAGGGUGUAGUUUCCCUCCUUGUGUUGGUGUUUUCCAUCUAUUAUCCCUUGUAGGGCUAGGUUUGUAAAAAGAUACUGUGUAAAUUUGGUUUUGUCAUGGAGUAGCUUGUUUUCUCCAUCUAUGGUAAUUGAGAGUUUUUCUGGGUAUAGUAGCCUGGGCUGGCAUUUGUGUUCUCUUAGGGUCUGUAUGAGAUCUGCCCAGGAUCUUCUAGCUUUCAUAGUCUCUGGUGAGAAGUCUGGCGUAAUUCUGAUAGGUCUGUCCUUAUAUGUUACUUGACCUUUUUCCCUUACUGCUUUUAAUAUUCUUUCUUUCUUUAAUGCAUUUGGUGUUUUGAUUAUUCUGUGAUGGGAGGAAUUUCUUUUCUGGUAGAGUCUAUUUGGAAUUCUGUAGGCUUCUUUUAUGUUGAUGGGCAUCUCUCUUUAGGUUAGGGAAGUUUUCUUCUAUAAUUUUGUUGAAGAUAUUUGCUGACCUUUAAGUUGGGAAUCUUUGCUCUUUUCUAUACCUAUUAUUCUUAGGAUUCAUUUACUCAUUGUGUCCUGGAUUUCCUGGAUAUUUUGGGUUAGGAGCUCUUUGCAUUUUGCAUUAUCUUUGACUGUUGUCUCAAUGUUUUCUAUGGUAUCUUCUGCACCUGAGAUUCUCUCUUCUAUCUCUUGAAUUCUGUAGGUGAUGCUUGCAUCUAUGACUCCUGAUCUCUUUCCUAGGUUUUCUAAUCCCAGGGUUAUCUCCCUUGAGGUUUCGUUAUUGUUUCUAUUUCCAUUUUUAGAUCUUGGAUGGUUUAGAUCUUGGUUGUUCCUUUCUUUCGCCUAUUUGAUUGUGUUUUCCUGUAAUUCUUUAGGGGUUUUUGUGUUUCUUCUUUAAGGGCUUCUAGGUGUUUACUUGUGUUCUCCUGUAAUUCUUUAAGGGAGUUAUUCAUGUCCUUCUUAAAGUCCUCUAUCAUCAUUAUGAGAAGUGAUUUUAGAUCAGAGUUUUGCUUUUCCGGUGUGAAGGUGUAUCCAGGACUUGCUAUGGUGGGAGAAUUGAUUGGGAUCUGAUGAUGCCAAGUAACCUUUUCUGUUGCUUAGGUUCUUACGCUUGCCUCCCGCCAUCUAAUUAUCUCUAGCGCUACAUGCCCUUGCUAUAUCUGACUGGAUGCUGUCCUUCCUAUGAUCCUGGUUGUGUCAGAACUCCUCAGAGUUCAGCUGCCUCUGGGACCCUGAGAUCCUGGUGUGAUCAAGUUCCUGGGAUCCUGGGAUCCUAGGUGCGUGAAAGCACCUGCGAGUGGAGCUUCUUCUGGGUGUUGUGGGACUGGCUUCGGAGUUAGCGCCCAAGGUCUGCUCAGGGCACAGGCCCUGACCAGAAGGAACUCAUGCCACUAGUCAGGUGGAGUUCCUGGGUGCCUGGGUCCCACUGAUCCCACUGGUCCUGCUGGUCCCAAUUAAUCCCCAGUGUUGGGCAGAUGUUGUGUCCUCCUCUCCUCUGAUCCUAUUCAGAUAACUUUUAAAGAAAGAGACAGGCACUUCAUUCUUGUAUAGAAAUAUGGAGAAAUAUGGUUUCACACCUACCAAAAGAGAAGUGGUGUAAGGAUUCACUUUUCUUUCUGACUCUAUCCUACUUUGGGAUGUGCAGGCCAAUGAUAGCCUCUGUAGUUCUGAUGUUGACUAAAUCAAAUGAAAUAGUCCUGCCACUGGUGGACAGAGGCCGACCUAUUAAGAGAUAGACAGAAAUACAGAAUUAAUUUUGAGAGCCUUGAGGUGGCUUGAGUCUCCUUGGUAUAUUGUAGCACAUAAGAAAUGCCUUUGUGUGUGUGUGUUUUUGAAACACAGUCCAGGCUAGCUCCAAGUUUAAGCUUUUCCUGCUUCCACCUUAGAGUACUGAAGUCACCAGAAAUGCCCUUGUAGUAGACUUUUACAUUUUUUUCCUCCAUCUAGAGAAGCUGAGAUUACUCUCUAAUUCUAGAAC